CAAUAAACCUGAUAAAGUGGAAAUACUUUUAAACUGCAAAAGCUUAGCUGUUCCUGUCAUCUGCAUGCUAUUAAACAGAUGCUUCAUACCCCAGCAGAAUAGAUGUUUUUAAAAGAUUGCAACGAUAGCAGGACUAUCA
rnacentral:sRNA from 1 species